rnacentral:rRNA from 1 species
GGGAUUGCCUCAGUAACGGCGAGUGAAGCGGCAACAGCUCAAAUUUGAAAUCUGGCCCCUUCGGGGUCCGAGUUGUAAUUUGUAGAGAGUGUUUCGGGGGGGACCGCGGUCUAAGUCCAUUGGAACAUGGUGUCAUAGAGGGUGAGAAUCCCGUAUGUGACCGCGGAUCGAACCCAUGUGAAGCCUCUUCGACGAGUCGAGUUGUUUGGGAAUGCAGCUCAAAAUGGGUGGUAAAUUUCAUCUAAAGCUAAAUACUGGCUGGAGACCGAUAGCGCACAAGUAGAGUGAUCGAAAGAUGAAAAGCACUUUGGAAAGAGAGUUAAACAGCACGUGAAAUUGUUGAAAGGGAAGCGCUUGCAACCAGACCUGCCCGUAGGCGAUCAGCCCCUGUUCUCAGCGGUGCACUCGCUCUGCGAUCAGGCCAGCAUCGGUUUCGGCGGUCGGAUAAAAGCCUUGGGAAUGUAGCUUCCUUUCGGGGGAGUCUUAUAGCCCUCGGUGCAAUGCGGCCAGCCGGGACCGAGGACCGCGCUUCGGCUAGGAUGCUGGCGUAAUGGUUUUAAGCGACCCGUCUUGAAACACGGACCAAGGAGUCUAACAUCUAUGCGAGUGUUUGGGUGUCAAACCCAUGCGCGGAAUGAAAGUGAACGGAGGUGAGAACCCUUAAGGGCGCAUCAUCGACCGAUCCAGAUGUCUUCGGAUGGAUUUGAGUAUGAGCAUAGCUGUUGGGACCCGAAAGGUAUGCUCAAAACCCCCGGGGUUCUUGCAAGUAGAGAUCAAAGCUAACAUAUUCAAUAGAUGGUGAACUAUGCCUGAAUAGGGUGAAGCCAGAGGAAACUCUGGUGGAGGCUCGCAGCGGUUCUGACGUGCAAAUCGAUCGUCAAAUUUGGGUAUAGGGGCGAAAGUACGUAUCGUUAGCGCUAAAGAUACCUGAUUUCAAUGCUAACUGAAUUUUUUUAGGACUAAUCGAACCA